UUUUAAAAGCACCAUCUUUUUCUUUUCAUGUCAUCUUUCCCAUAAAAUGUGCUGUGUCCUGGAAUAAAACCAGGCUGCCCCUCCUAGUCCUGAGUUCCCUGUGAACGCAGACAGCCCCCCUCCCUAGGGUGGUUCAGCUGGGAUUCUGUGACUUCAUGGUGGAAAGCCACUUGCACUCAGCGGAAACCACACUUGGAGUUCUGGAUUCUGGCCUCUGCCCAGGCUCGAAGCAGGUAAAGGGACACUCCAGCCGUGCUGAGGGAGCCGGCAGCCAGGCAGUCAGACAGUCAGACAGUCGACACUGCAGCUGAAGGGACCUUUCACAGUGUGUCUUAGCUGUGCACCACAGUGGGCAGCGAUCAUGCGGCCACUCUGCCCUCCACUGCCAAUAUCUGUUGAGUCAAUGACAUGGGAUGUUCAACACCUGAGGACAGACUGCUGGGUCUGGUGUGAGCCUGGGGGACAGGCCCCACUAGGCGGCCACUUGCAGUAGGUUUGGUGUGCUAAAGCUGAUAUUUUCACUUUAUGAGGGGUUUAUCAGGAAGUAAUCCCAUCAAAGCUUGAGCAUCUGUGUAGCUGAUAAAAAAGAAAAAAGGAAUCUAACCUUUUGAUGAGCCUGGAUUUAUCUUUUCAGAGCAAUCAGCUAAAAAAAGAUCACAUUCUCAGCUGUUCCCUCAGCCUAGCAAAUCAAGCAACUGGAACCCCGAGAUUUUGAACCAGACUGUGCUAGUUUACAUCUCCAAAGCAGACUGACUCCAGGGCUUCAGGAAGAUUGCACAGGAAGCACACAUCCACUUCACUUCUGUUCCCUUCCUCUAAUGACUGCAAAUACUAAGCCCACAUCCUCAUUUCCUCUGCACUCCACCUGACGGAUUUCCGCUGGCCCUUCAGGCUGGGGAUGUGCUCCGAGUACUGCAUAAGCCUGGCGUACACCUGUGAGGUCCUGGGUUUGAUUCCCGGCAGCUUGGACAUGACUACCAUUUCCCUGUGUGCUUCAGGAGUGGUUUCUAAUGACCUGUCCUCUCUCACUGCCGCCUGACCCACUCCAUGGACACUGCGUGUGGCCACAUCUCAGCAGCAGUGCUUCACAGCUGCCCGCUCCCUCAGACACCUUCUGGUUCUCCUUCAAGUCACUGCUCCCUCCCUCCCUCUCUCUCUCUUCUGGCUCCUGCUCCUCUGGAUGGUCCCAAAGGUCUCUCCCUGUCCGUUCUCACCAACCCAGUGGCCUCACAUAGUCCACCCCAUGCUGCCGACUCCCCUGUCCACAUCUCCAGUCUGAACCCCUUUCCAGAGCCUCAGGUUUGAGUAUCCACAAGUCUCCAACCUAACCUGGCUGAAACAGAUCGGAGACCCUUCCCCUGCUCUCUCCUGUAUCAGGGAGCAGCAGUGGCUUCUUCCAAAGCUGGGUAUUGUGCUCUUUCUCCCUCACACUCCACAUCCAGUCCACCCUAACUGCAAAUCCUCUCACUUGACCCUCAAAACACCAUACCCCCGUCCACUGGCCUCCAUCCCACUCUUUCCACCACCUCUUGGCUGGUGGAACUGACCACUGAAGAAGCCUCCUGUGACUGCUUUUGCCCCAGUGCAACCAUUCCUUGCAAAGCAGCCAGUGACCUUCUAAAAGCCAUGUCAUGCCAAUCCCCACGUUAACCCUGCUUUUUGAACUCCAGACCCUGGCCACCCCCAACCCUGCCACCUCCCCUCCUGCGCUCGGCUCUCCAGACCUCUGGCCUUUUAGCAUGUGGAUCUCCUGCUCCUCCUGCCUCAGGUCCUUGCCCAGGCAGGUUUCCCGAGAUGCUCCUCCUGACUCAAGUGCUUUCCCCUACAGACACCCAGUUGCAGAGAAGCUGCCCUGGCCAUUCCUACACGCCGGCCGCGGCCCCUCCCCUUAGGCACGUGCAUGCUCCUUGUUAGGUUCCGUGAGGACAUUUGAAUCAAUAUCUGCCUACGCCUGUCAACCUCAUGUCUAUGGUACGAUUCCUGUGUGGUGUCACGGCUGUGCAUACCUUCGGGUCACUUGUUCAGCGCCUGGCACACAGUACCCCAAGAAAAACUCGUGAACACUGCCCUCCCGAGUUUUCACACCAUCACUGUAAUGGCCUCCUGCCCCACAUCAGCGCUUCUAGUGACACAGCACAAGCUGGGUGUGAGAAUUUUCUGCACAGUGGUGCCCUCAGGACCACUCUGGGCAGCUGGGAGUACCUGUCACCCACAGUUGAAAGAAAAACAGCCACCAACAGCCCAGAAAUGUUUCACAACCAGGUUUCAUUACCACCAUGAGACUGGGGAAGAACCUGUUGAGGUGUUCUGAAAGAUGGCCUCCUCUGCUGCAGAGGUGGCCAGGAGCAGACCACAGGCAGAACAGCGCCCUGGAAGACCAGGUGACCCAAGCCACUGAAACCAGGGACACGGACACCGCCGUUAGGCUUUGCAGGCCAACAGGAGAAACUGAAGCGUACUUGACCUCUCUCUCCUGGCCUGCGGGAAGAGCAGAUUUUGCCCGGCUUGCAGGCUGUUGACCUCACCCAGAUUCCCAGAUGUAACAGGACUGAGGCCCCCUGGGUGAGAGACAAGGCACAGUCAACUGUUCAAGAGCAGAAGCAGUAGGCAGACUGCUGGCGCUGGGGAUCUCUGAGGGAGCUGCGAGGUACUCUGAGACCACAGGUCUCACGACUGGGCAGGAAGUCAGGAACCUGGGAGGCAGAUGUUCACAUCAAAACCAAACUCUUCAGCCUGGUGCCUCAGAGGCUCUGGUGGAGAGAGGACACAGUGAGCAGAACUGCUCUCAGCCCUCAUCUUGAUUCAGGUCCUCUCCCCCAGGGCCAUUCCUGCUAAGACCCAGCCAGAGCAAGGCCAGGCAGAGUCUGGGGAAAAGCCCUCUGGGCUAGUGACUUCCAGCUGGAACAGCCUGAGGGCUUUGUGGGAAACACACACAGAGCAGGGGAGAAAGGCCAACAGAUAACACACAGGCACACCUGGGCACUACUCAAGAGGCCUGGCCACACAGCCAAAAAAAAAAAACACUUGCUGUGAAACACAAGGGCCUGUCUAUCAAUAAACCUGGGGUCAACAGCACGACUGCGUAAGAAAA